rnacentral:misc_RNA from 1 species
UCUAAGGAGUAUUGAUUUUCUUACACUAUUUAUUAUUUUUCUUUAGUGAAAAGAACAUUAUAGCUUUUAUUUCAAACCGUCAAAUAUUUUUAUUACGGGGGUGUAGCUCAGUUGGGAGAGCACCUGCCUUGCAAGCAGGGGGUCAGGAGUUCGAAUCUCCUCAUCUCCACCAUACUCUACAUCUUAUGAUUAGAGUUCCCGAAAGGGAAAGGACCAAAAAAACUGAAAACUGAAAAGAAAACAAGAACACUGGAAAAAGAACAAAGGUCAAGAAAAAGAAGAGCACUAAGAGGAUGCCUAGGCACCAAGAGGCGAAGAAGGACGUGACAAGCUGCGAAAAGCGACGGGUAGGAGCAAAUAUCCCGUGAACCGUCGAUAU